CACCAUAUUGUUAUUGGGAGUGGAAGAAAGAACCUGCUGUCUUUAUUUCCUGUUUGGAAGUUCAGCAGUAUGGCCUGUUUCUUCGAGGUUCUAGGGAUCACUAAUUCAAUCCUCAGUCUCCUGAGCACUGGGACGACAAGCAAGCACCAGGUCAGCUUAGCCAUACUUCUUGAUAGCUGCUGUUUGCUGAGUGUGCUGGCUGACUGAGAGUGUGAGCCUCUCUCUCUCCAGGCACUGGGAUGGAAGGGGAUCGGGAUUUCAGGGUGUGCCUCCAGGCAUCUCUGAAACUCUUUGUGCAGAAACUCAUUUCCUCAGGGCCUCAUUUAGACAUUUUCUAUAUGUCUUAGUCACUCUGCUCUAUUCCCUUAGAUGCUUUGUUGAGAAACUGAAAAAAGACAGUAAAUAUAGAAACAUUGCUACCACUGGGAGAAGAAACAACAUCCUCAGGUGGAUCUUCACUGAACCAGCAUCCUCAAGAUUGUAAAUCUUAUUUUAGAAAGGGCUGAGAACCUAAAGUGCCAGUUCCUACAGAGGUACACCAGGGAAUAUGAACAACACCUGGCAGAUAAG